UACAGAGGUCUCAAGCGUUGUUCGGAUUCAUUGGGCGUAAAGGGUGCGUAGGUGGCGCGCUAAGUCAGGUGUGAAAUUUCGGAGCUUAACUCCGAAACUGCAUUUGAUACUGGCGUGCUUGAGGACUGGAGAGGAGACUGGAAUUCAUGGUGUAGCAGUGAAAUGCGUAGAGAUCAUGAGGAAGACCAGUGGCGAAGGCGGGUCUCUGGACAGUUCCUGACACUGAGGCACAAAGGCCAGGGGAGCAAACGGG
rnacentral:rRNA from 1 species